CCCUUCCUCUUCUUUCUUCUUCGUUUCUUCUUCGUUCAGGUUUGUGGAUGCUAGGGUUUAUGCUUCUCUCCGUCUCUGCUGGUUGAAUGUUUUGUAAAUAUAGAAACAAAAUUCUCUGCAGAUUGUUAGCAUUUCCAUUAGCUCUUUCUUGCAUUGGAAUGUUUUCUUGAAGCAAUUAAAGAAGUUAUUGCAAGGAUUAUCGGAAGUUUUUAGGGUUUCGGCAUGUUCUGGUGUGUUCUCUAGCUUGUUUUGUUCAAGAAUUGGCAUGUGUUCGGGAGGAUUUAGAGGUUCCUCAUUUGUUCAGCUGAGUAAUUUGGAUUCCAUUCAAGAAGAAAGCCAAAGACUGCUGCCAUUACCAAGAACUGUUUAGUGUUACUGCGAAUCAUGUUAAAUUUGGUUACUUCUUCCUCCAUUAUCAGAUAAUGAAGUCGGUCUUCCCAACUGUUUGAAGAA